CCUACGGGUGGCAGCAGUGAGGAAUAUUGGUCAAUGGACGAGAGUCUGAACCAGCCAAGUAGCGUGAAGGAUGACUGCCCUAUGGGUUGUAAACUUCUUUUAUCAAGGAAUAAAACGAGGCACGUGUGCCUUUUUGCAUGUACUUUAUGAAUAAGGAUCGGCUAACUCCGUGCCAGCAGCCGCGGUAAUACGGAGGAUCCGAGCGUUAUCCGGAUUUAUUGGGUUUAAAGGGAGCGUAGAUGGGAUGUUAAGUCAGUUGUGAAAGUUUGCGGCUCAACCGUAAAAUUGCAAUUGAUACUGGCAGUCGUGAGUACAGUUGAGGUAAGCGGAAUUCGUGGUGUAGCGGUGAAAUGCUUAGAUAUCACGAAGAACCCCGAUUGCGAAGGCAGCUUACUAAACUGUGACUGACAUUGAUGCUCGAAAGUGUGGGUAUCAAACAGGAUUAGAUACCCCUGUAGUC
rnacentral:rRNA from 1 species